rnacentral:RNase_P_RNA from 2 species
CCAGAUGACCGGGCGGUCGCGGAAUUUCCCUACAAAGGGUGUUUCGAGGAAAGUCCGGGCUCCACGGUAAUAUGACGGCGGGUAACGCCCGCCAGGGGUGACCCUAGGGAUAGCGCCACAGAAAGCAAACCGCCGUACUUGUACGGCAAGGGUGAAAGGGUGCGGUAAGAGCGCACCGCGCGGCCGGUAACGGAAGCGGCAUGGCAAGCCCCGUCAGGAGCAAGACCAAAUAGGAACGGCGCGCUGUCGGCAACGGCAGCAGGGCAUUACCGCCCCGGACCGUUCGGGUAGGUUGCGUGAGCCGUCCGGCGACGGGCGGCCAAGAGGAAUGAUCGCCACGACGGCAACGUCGUACAGAACCCGGCUUACAGGUCAUCUGGCCCA